UACGUAGGGUGCGAGCGUUGUCCGGAAUUACUGGGCGUAAAGAGCUCGUAGGUGGUUUGUCGCGUUGUUCGUGAAAACCGGGGGCUUAACCCUCGGCGUGCGGGCGAUACGGGCAGACUUGAGUACUGCAGGGGAGACUGGAAUUCCUGGUGUAGCGGUGGAAUGCGCAGAUAUCAGGAAGAACACCCGUGGCGAAAGCGGCUCUCUGGAACGGUACUGACGCUGAGACGCGAAAGCGUGGGGAGCGAACAGG
rnacentral:rRNA from 1 species